CAAAUAGAAGAAUCUGGGAAUAUUAUUACAAAGACGAACGAAAAGUAAAAAAAAAAAAACGUUGGAUUUUAGCUUUGAAAGAACACUUAUAACAAUAAUACAAUUAGACCUGGAUACAAUUUGGGAUCGAGAAUGGAUGAGAAUAUGCAAAGAAUGUCUUAUAGUAUAUAAAACUGAAGAAAGAAUAUGGGAGGUCGAGCGCAAUUCAAAGUUAUAUGUAUUUGGUUUAGGGUUAAAUGACUAGCAGAAGUCAAAUAUGAUUAAAAGAAGUGCGUAUCUAAAGUAUGUACACGUAAGACUAAAAGGAGAGGUUGAGUCGGGGCCGUAAGGCCCUGGUGAUACCUAGUAUAGUCUAUGUAUAGGGUGGGAUGAAGCAAACAACACAAAACUUACAUUUUAGCUUGUGUUCCUAUAACAUCGGCUGGAACAUCCGAGAAUCGUCUUCAAAUUGAUUGAUUUUUGCUCCUGUAAUCACUCAAAUUUUAGCUUAUGCUGCUGUACAGCCAAAUUUCAGUUUGUUCUAUUCUAAUGAAUUAAUUUUGAUAA